GUGGGGAAUAUUGCGCAAUGGGGGCAACCCUGACGCAGCAACGCCGCGUGAGCGAUGAAGGUUUUCGGAUCGUAAAGCUCUGUUCUGAGGGAAGAUAAUGACGGUACCUCAGGAGAAAGCCCCGGCUAACUACGUGCCAGCAGCCGCGGUAAUACGUAGGGGGCAAGCGUUGUCCGGAUUCACUGGGCGUAAAGAGCACGUAGGCGGUUAAUUAAGUCAGGUGUGAAAGUUUUCGGCUCAACCGGAAAAGUGCACUUGAAACUGGAUAACUUGAGUAUCGGAGAGGUAAGCGGAAUUCCUAGUGUAGCGGUGAAAUGCGUAGAGAUUAGGAAGAACACCGGUGGCGAAGGCGGCUUACUGGACGAUAACUGACGCUGAGGUGCGAAAGCGUGGGGAGCGAACAGGAUUAGAAACCCUAGUAGUCC
rnacentral:rRNA from 1 species